UGCUGCUGCAAGUCUUACGCCCCGAACCCGCAGGGCCGAGAUAGCGCCAGAUUCAAGGAAUCCAGCCCCCCGCUGGCACCCGACUGCACUCGGUUCGUUGCAGGACGUGGCCCUAAUCCUGGGGUAAAAAUGGUGACAAGGAUGCAGUUUGACUUUAAAUCUGCUCCACCAAAAUAAGGUUUUCCACUCUCACAUGGUCUCAGGGGUCAACUUCUGGGAAACCGCCUCAUUUCCUGGGAACUUCAGAGAAAGAAGCACAAAGAAACUGGUUCACAAAACCAAACCCAAAUCCACUUCCAAGCGGGAGAGUAUUAAAACUACUUUGCACCAUA